rnacentral:rRNA from 1 species
UGCAGAAUCCCGUGAACCAUGGAGUCUUUGAACGCAAGUUGCGCCCGACGCCUUCGGGCUGAGGGCACGCCUGCCUGGGCGUCA